AAUGAACGCUGGCGGCAUGGAUUAGGCAUGCAAGUCGAACGUGAAGCUCCAGCUUGCUGGAGUGGAAAGUGGCGCAAGGGUGAGUAACACGUGAGCAACCUGCCCCCGACUUCGGGAUAGCCCCGGGAAACUGGGAUUAAUACCGAAUGCGGUUACCGGAUCGCAGGGUCUGGCAAUCAAAGAUUAAGUUCGGUCGGGGAUGGGCUCGCGUCCCAUUAGCUUGUUGGUGAGGUAACGGCUCACCAAGGCCGAGACGGGUAGGUGGUCUGAGAGGAUGGUCACCCACACUGGGACUGAGACACUGCCCAGACUCCUACGGGAGGCUGCAGUCGAGAAUCUUCCGCAAUGGGCGCAAGCCUGACGGAGCAAUGCCGCGUGAGGGAUGACGGCCUUCGGGUUGUAAACCUCUGUCACCCGGGACGAACAAAUGACGGUACC
rnacentral:rRNA from 1 species